rnacentral:misc_RNA from 1 species
UUGCAGCAGCCAAAGCCACUGG